rnacentral:rRNA from 1 species
GAUGAACGCUAGCGGCAGGCCUAAUACAUGCAAGUCGAGGGGUAGAAGAGGCUUGCUUCUUUGAGACCGGCGCACGGGUGCGUAACGCGUAUGCAACCUACCUUCAUCUGGGGGAUAGCCCGGAGAAAUCCGGAUUAAUACCGCAUAAAAUCACAGGAUGGCAUUAUCCAAUGAUCAAACAUUUAUGGGAUGGAGAUGGGCAGGGGUGUCAUUAGUUAGUUGGCGGGGUAACGGCCCACCAAGGCGACGAGGACUAGGGGAACUGAGAGGAUGGCCCCCCACACUGGUACUGAGACACGGACCAGACUCCUACGGGAGGCAACAGUAAGGAAUAUUGGUCAAUGGAGGCAACUCUGAACCAGCCAUGCCGCGUGCAGGAAGACUGCCCUAUGGGUUGUAAACUGCUUUUAUUCGGGAAUAAGCCUUAUUACGUGUAAUAAGCUGAAUGUACCGAAGGAAUAAGGAUCGGCUAACUCCGUGCCAGCCGCCGCUGUAA